rnacentral:lncRNA from 1 species
GGUUUCACGUUCGUCGGAGCUCGUGGGUUCGCCUUGAUGUUCUUAACAACUCUCUAGAAGGAAUCGAGGGCUGAAAUUGAAGUGUUUACUUCGAAAAUCGAGCUCGCCGGUUUCUGGAAAUUUUCCGGCCACCUUCAUACUGUUCAAGGUGAUUGACGGUCUUCCUUGGUGAGCGGUUUUGGCGUGUUUUGUGAGAUUGAAGACGCAGCGGGAUUAGAGGUGAGUAAAUCUCACGUGGUUCAUAUUACGAACCUUGCACUUUUAAUUAAUUUAUUUGUCGUAAUUGUGUGAAAAAUAUUUAUGGAAUAAAUAUUUGUUUUUAAUCACAUGGACUUGAUCAACUACGGUCCAUAGGUAAGCAAAAUGAUUUUAAAUUAUACAAAAUGAAUUUCCUGUUUUCUUGCGUGAACUAUAGUUGGUAUUAGUAAUUAUCCCUGAGUGGGUGAUUUUGUAUAUAUAUAUUUACGUGGAUAUAUAUAUGGAAUGGUGUGACAUUGAAGAGUGUGGAAUUGUGAUGAUUUGUUUAUUAUGUGGGGGAUGUAUAGAGUGUUGGGACGUAGUGCUCUGAGGACUGAGAGUCCGAAGAACGCCGGUUAAAUGAUAACCGAGAUGUAGUGCUCUGAGGACUGGGAGCCCGAAGAACGCCGGUUAAAUGAUAACCGACAUGUAGUGCUCUGAGGACUGAGAGUCCGAAGACCGCCGGUUAAAUAAUAAUCGAGAUGUAGUGCUCUGAGGACAGGGUGUCCGAAGACCGCCGGUUAAAUAAUAACCGAGAUGAC